rnacentral:lncRNA from 1 species
AUGAAGAUAGAAAUAAAUUCCCUUUUCUAUGUCGGAGACACUGCCUUUAAGAAUUUAGUUCCAGAAUCUCUCAUUGGAAACAGCAGUAACUGUUGAUGAUGGUGAAUGAGAAUGGCAAGUGAAAGUACUCACCAACGCAACACUUUCAGACAUGAUGUUUCGAAGCACUGUUCACACUGCUGCAUCACCAUUGGGGAACAAAAGCUGAAGAAUCACACCGUAAUCCUCUUCUGAUAGUGAAAUAUUGAAAAAAAGUAAUGGGUCCCUUACAAGAAGGCUUAG